AAAUUGUUGAAAGGGAAGCGCUUGUGACCAGACUUGCGCCGGGCGGCUCAUCAGGGGUUCUCCCCUGUGCACUCCGCCCGGCUCAGGCCAGCAUCGGUUCUCGUGGGAGGAUAAGAACGGUGGGAACGUGGCCCCCCCUCGGGGGGGUGUUAUAGCCCACCGUACGAUACUCUCGUGGGGACCGAGGUUCGCGCUCCGCAAGGAUGCUGGCGUAAUGGUCAUCAGCGACCCGUCUUGAAACACGGACCAAGGAGUCGUCCAUUAGAGCGAGCGUUUGGGUGUAAAACCCGCACGCGUAAUGAAAGUGAACGCAGGUGAGAGCUUCGGCGCAUCAUCGACCGAUCCUGAUGUCUUCGGAUGGAUUUGAGUAAGAGUUUUAACGGACGGACCCGAAAGACAGUGAACUAUGCUUGUAUAGGGUGAAGCCAGAGGAAACUCUGGUGGAGGCUCGCAGCGGUUCUGACGUGCAAAUCGAU
rnacentral:rRNA from 1 species